rnacentral:rRNA from 1 species
GGGUUGUGAGGUUAAGCGACUAAGCGUACACGGUGGAUGCCCUGGCAGUCAGAGGCGAUGAAGGACGUGCUAAUCUGCGAUAAGCGUCGGUAAGGUGAUAUGAACCGUUAUAACCGGCGAUUUCCGAAUGGGGAAACCCAGUGUGAUUCGUCACACUAUCAUUAACUGAAUCCAUAGGUUAAUGAGGCGAACCGGGGGAACUGAAACAUCUAAGUACCCCGAGGAAAAGAAAUCAACCGAGAUUCCCCCAGUAGCGGCGAGCGAACGGGGAGCAGCCCAGAGCCUGAAUCAGUGUGUGUGUUAGUGGAAGCGUCUGGAAAGGCGUGCGAUACAGGGUGACAGCCCCGUACACAAAAAUGCACAUGCUGUGAGCUCGAUGAGUAGGGCGGGACACGUGGUAUCCUGUCUGAAUAUGGGGGGACCAUCCUCCAAGGCUAAAUACUCCUGACUGACCGAUAGUGAACCAGUACCGUGAGGGAAAGGCGAAAAGAACCCCGGCGAGGGGAGUGAAAAAGAACCUGAAACCGUGUACGUACAAGCAGUGGGAGCACGCUUAGGCGUGUGACUGCGUACCUUUUGUAUAAUGGGUCAGCGACUUAUAUUCUGUAGCAAGGUUAACCGAAUAGGGGAGCCGAAGGGAAACCGAGUCUUAACUGGGCGUUAAGUUGCAGGGUAUAGACCCGAAACCCGGUGAUCUAGCCAUGGGCAGGUUGAAGGUUGGGUAACACUAACUGGAGGACCGAACCGACUAAUGUUGAAAAAUUAGCGGAUGACUUGUGGCUGGGGGUGAAAGGCCAAUCAAACCGGGAGAUAGCUGGUUCUCCCCGAAAGCUAUUUAGGUAGCGCCUCGUGAAUUCAUCUCCGGGGGUAGAGCACUGUUUCGGCAAGGGGGUCAUCCCGACUUACCAACCCGAUGCAAACUGCGAAUACCGGAGAAUGUUAUCACGGGAGACACACGGCGGGUGCUAACGUCCGUCGUGAAGAGGGAAACAACCCAGACCGCCAGCUAAGGUCCCAAAGUCAUGGUUAAGUGGGAAACGAUGUGGGAAGGCCCAGACAGCCAGGAUGUUGGCUUAGAAGCAGCCAUCAUUUAAAGAAAGCGUAAUAGCUCACUGGUCGAGUCGGCCUGCGCGGAAGAUGUAACGGGGCUAAACCAUGCACCGAAGCUGCGGCAGCGACGCUGAUGCGUUGUUGGGUAGGGGAGCGUUCUGUAAGCCUGCGAAGGUGUGCUGUGAGGCAUGCUGGAGGUAUCAGAAGUGCGAAUGCUGACAUAAGUAACGAUAAAGCGGGUGAAAAGCCCGCUCGCCGGAAGACCAAGGGUUCCUGUCCAACGUUAAUCGGGGCAGGGUGAGUCG